GCCAUGCUGCCGGGCGGGAUGUUUUCUUUUCAAGGCUUGGAAAGAUUGGUUGUAGUUCCUGCCUAAAAUCGGAGGCUCCUGCAAGCCCAUUGCAGCUGGAGGCAACCCAGAAUGGCCCCCGUGAAGCUUCUGUUACCCACAGAGCAGAGGACCUUCUGGGUUCUGUGUGUGGGCCCUGCGGGUGAGCUCAAGGGCAUUGUCAAAAGGAAAUGAAAGCAAGAAAGUCAGGGCAAGAGAAUUCUCUCUCUGGAUGUGAGAGAACACAGCAGUCCUCUCUCUCUCUCUCUCUCUCUCUCUCGUUCCAGGUGCAGUUAGGGGAAGAAUUGCACUCUUUCUCAAGUAGGUUUGAUUUUCUGAGAUCUCUUGUGUGUAUUGGCUGGGGGGGGUGGGGGGGGGGGAUGUUGGGGAGGGUGCAGCAGGUAGGAAGGAAUUGGUUAUGAGGUUGGACUUUCUCUUGAGCAUAGUAAGACCUCUGCUCCGUUUCUCAGAACGUGACAAUAAGAUGAGGGGCAGAGACGAAGCCAGAGGCUUGAGUUGCGGGGUGUGGUCAGUCAGCAGCACAGCAGUCCUGUGUCUGCAGUGGGUGUCAGUGGGCAGUUGUCAGUGGGCGGUAUCUGCAGACCCUGGUGUGGAAUCCGUCCACUUACAGGCUUCCUUUCUAAGGCUGUGGGGUCCUCGCCUCCCGUGAGGGACUUUGCCAACCGGGCCUGAACGGGGAGGUGGUUGGACGUGCUGCCCCAUCCGAGUUAGGAUGAUGUGUUAACCCUGUCCCACGGGGAAACCGGGGUGGCCUCAGGGCUGCUUCCAUUGGAAAUGGCGCCGAAAUGAGGCUCCUCAAACAUCUUAGGAGGCCACUCCCCUAGAGCCAGCCUCUGCUGAGAGCUUUGGGCUCCUUAGGUAGGCUUUCCCUCCUCCCAUUUCUCAGUGACUCCUGGGUCUCUGUUCAGCACCAGGGACAGCGACCACCCCUCCAUUCACCCAAGGCUGGCUGUCCUCAUGGACCUUCUGUGCCGGGAAGGCCUGGUUUUCCUUCCCUUCCUGCCCAGGGGGUCUCCUCCGAAAAGACUUUCUUCUUAAGUUCAAGUGCCUGCAUCUCGCAUUCUAUUCAAAGCCUGGAGGCUUAGCUGUUUCUGUCACAUCCUCGGCCUCCUAAGGAAAGGACAGGGUUUGGGCUCACACACCCAGACAGUUCACUGCUAAGCUUUCCCCAAGCCACGCCCCGUGGUCUCCUGGAAACAAAGACACUCAGACACCCUAGGGCACAGGCACCCCCCAACUACAGUCUUCACAAGGCACCUUCGGCUUGUCCCCUCCCCAGCGGGGGACCGCUUACAGGCAACCCCCUUCUGUUUACGACUGAUGCACUGAUCCACGUGCAGGUCCUUGUUCGCUCUGUGCAUGGGAGGUGGUACCUUCCAGGCCUGAGCCGCCGCUGUGAACUCCGAGGUCUGAAACGGGCCCCGGGCUGCUGCUGUGGGGCUUUUUGGAGACUCAGGCUGGGCACUGCUUUGCAUGCCAGCGGCCACCCCUUCAUCACGCGUGUGGUCCGGCAGCUCACCACGCCUUAAGCAAUCCCGGGGAAAGCGCACGUGGCCCCUCUGGGCCUCCAUCGGGCCAGGCUGGCGGGCGCACUGAGGACGGGAGUGCAGCAGGAGCACCAGCGUCAUGCUGCUCCGUGCCUGCCCGGCUGUCACGCACAGUAAUACGCGGCUCCUGUCAGGAUGGCCCCGUGCGGGGAGGCCAGGCGGUCCCUGCACACUUCAUCUUAACCGCUGUCUCCUGGUUUACAGGUGGCAGAUAGAUUCCACUCCCGCUGCCCCUGGACCACCCAGGGCUCUGAACAGCCCCCCACACCCCGUGUGCAGGACAUGGGGGUGCUUUGUAAGGUGGAGACAGCAGGCCAGAGACCAAGGUCUGGAACGGCGAUGUUUAACCUUGGAGCGAGCGAGGGGCCGGACGCCAUGCUUCCCCCACCCCUCAUCCUCUUGCGGGCUUCCCGUUCCAGCGCUCACACCCGCCAUGAGAAAGAGGCACGCAUCUCUGGAUUAUUGACGAGGGCAGGGUCAACAAUCCUCUCUGAGGGUCCUUUAGAAUAGGAGCUUUGUUUUCUAUUGGAACUAAGGGACAAACCUAGGUUAGGGUCUAUAUGCACAGGAAGGACCAACUGGGCAUUCCCGUCAGAACAGAGAAGAAGGAGUUGGGAGUUGACUGAUGGGAAUCAACUGGUCCACGGGCCGGGAACGGUGGUCUGAGGCGGGGCUGCGUCGUUAGAAGGAGAGGGGAUGUCCGUAGGAGCCUCAGGAGGGAGCAGGCUAGAGAAGAAAUCCCUGGAGAGGUUCCCAGUACUUUUUCUGGACAAUUCCUAACAUUAUCAAGGGCGCAUCUAGCCCUCUGCCUCCUCGGAGGCGAGCUCAGCGACACGCCUGGGCUCUUAAGGCAAAUGCCCCACAGACACCAAAGUCUUGCAUUUUCCACUCCCAGCCGCGGCUGGCUGUCCCGAGUGGAAUUUUUUUCCCCUUCCCUACUCGAAAGGGACUCGCUUUCAGGAGAAGUGUCCUUCAAACGUCCAGCGCCGACUGGAGGUAAUUUUUUGCAUGAAUGGCUUUUUACGGCUAGGUCUAAAAGCAGAAGAAAACUUGUAUUUAAACUAAGUGCUACUUUACAUAUCUCAUUUGGAGGGAAAGGAAGGAUUUAUUGCCUUGUAAAUGCUGUACACAGAUUCGUUUCCUACUGGACAUCACAUGUCCCGUCGUCUUCAGGCUGAUGUCCCGAGCAGCCUCCGGGCGGCUGGCAAAUCAGCCGGCACCUGCUCCGCGCUCCGGUCGGACGCUGUGUUCUCCGAGAGCAAUUUUGCAAAUGAAGUUCAGGUGCCGUCGUAGCUGAUUUCCACCCUCACCCCGAAGCUUUCUGUACUAAAUAUAUGUAACGUGACUCUCUCUCAUCUGAUCCUCUGUGUGUGUGUGUGUGUGUGUGUCCCCUCGUUCGUAUUCAUAUAUUGGCCAUCUGACCUUGAACAUGGUGUGCGUGGCAUGUGGGCCUGGGAUGCGUGCACACACUGGUUCUGAGGCCAAGGUUAUCUUACAGAGUUCAGAAAGAAAGAAAGAAAAAAAAAGCUACCACCACUUGGCGUAGCUUGGGAGAAGCUUAGCAGUGGAAAGACACACGGUUGCCAAGCGGGCAUUCACUGGCGCAGACCUUGGCCGGGGCAGAGUCGAGGCGUGCUCAACUGCGUUUCUUUUCACCUCCAUGGGUUGUUCCUCGGUCCUGUUUCAUGACUGAGAAAUCUCCCUCCAUCAUGCUGGUCUGUUGCCCUCCCCCCUCCACCCCCAGGCUGCUGGAAAGUGUUGGUCAUGCUGGCUUCCUAGCAUUUAGAUCCCAAAGUUACUGACUUACAAUGGGCGGCUGAGGAUUUUAGCAAACAUGGGGUUCACCCAUCGUGCCCCUUCUUUGAGGGAAUGUCUUUUUUAUUUUUUUAAGGACAACUAACCCCCAUUGGCUGUGCUCAGUUUAUUUGCAUCCCGGUGAGUCUUGGAGAAUCGCUUUCGUUAACAUGAUGACUGUAUUUGUCUCUGGAGAAGAGGCUCGCGGGCAAUGUCAAAUUCUCAUGUAAAGGUGUUCUUUAUGCAAAAAAAUAAAUAAAAGGGUUCUACCUUGGUCAGGGGGCCCCAGGGUAGGGGGGACGUGUUGUCAGUCCAUAUCGAGGGAUGUGUUGAAAGGGCAAGAGCUCUCCCAUCUGGGUCCCAGCCCCACCCGUCCUUCCUCCCCAACCUCAAAAGAAAACAGAAAAAUUAUUUUUUUAAAAUCGCAUUAAUAACUUAUGUUUAAUACAAAAGGAUGAUGUAACGGUGUCACCAAAGGUCAUUCCUCCCACUGUGCAUGUCCUCCACUCUCGGCCCCGCCCCCGUCACCCCAUCCUCCACCCUCACGCUUCCACCCCGAGCCAACGUGGGUCUUCGUGGGAACCAAUAGGCGUUGGCGGGACAUGUGGGGGCGGAGCCUAACGCCAUGUGGGGGUGGAGCCUAAACGCCACGAAGCUCAUGAAAACCCGCCCAUUCUUCACUUUCCAGUGGGUAAUCGCUACCCAAAGGCACACCCUUUUCUUGGUUUCUGUCGAAAAACAUUUUAUACAUAUAUAUGUAUAUAUGUGUGUGUAUGUAUGGCCCUAUGUAUGUAUAUGCACAUGUACAUGUAUAUAUGUAUAUACCCACCACCGGUAUAAAUAGAACGUGCGCGAGCGUUGUAAAUACCCCUCGGCCAUCUGUCCGUCCGUCUCCCUCAUGGUAUCAUAUCUUCAGUGUUACGUUAACGACUCCAUUUACUGAGUGAUGAAAUCGUGUGUAGACUGUAUCCUCCUGACAUAGUUUAUGUAGGGUCUCUUCUCAAAUAAAGUUAUAAAACACCCGU